UGUACACCCGGUAAGUCGAAAACCCGCAAGGGCGGCUUAGGCAAAAAUGGGUAUCCCGGUGGAUUGAAAACCCGAAAGGGCGAUCCAGGCAAAAGUUAGGGAUUAAAGCGAAGACUACAGUCUGAGUUUGUCUGUACUUCAUCAAGCUUUAUCGUCUGCCAUCUCGAAAGAUGUGAUCCGUCCAGUCAUUCUUCUCAGAAAGCAAGGAGUUGGGAGGAAAACUGAUGAUCUGUGAGUUAUAACAGAAUUGGG
rnacentral:lncRNA from 1 species